UGGGGAAUAUUGCACAAUGGGCGAAAGCCUGAUGCAGCAACGCCGCGUGAGUGAUGAAGGCCUUCGGGUUGUAAAGCUCUGUCUUUUGGGACGAUAAUGACGGUACCAAAGGAGGAAGCCACGGCUAACUACGUGCCAGCAGCCGCGGUAAUACGUAGGUGGCAAGCGUUGUCCGGAUUUACUGGGCGUAAAGGAUGCGUAGGCGGAUUUUUAAGUGAGAUGUGAAAUACCCGGGCUUAACUUGGGUGCUGCAUUUCAAACUGGGAAUCUAGAGUGCGGGAGAGGAGAAUGGAAUUCCUAGUGUAGCGGUGAAAUGCGUAGAGAUUAGGAAGAACACCAGUGGCGAAGGCGAUUCUCUGGACCGUAACUGGCGCUGAGGCAUGAAAGCGUGGGUAGCAAACAGGAUUAGAUACCCUGGUAGUCCACGCCGUAAACGAUGAGUACUAGGUGUAGGAGGUAUCGACCCCUUCUGUGCCGCAGUUAACACAAUAAGUACUCCGCCUGGGAAGUACGAUCGCAAGAUU
rnacentral:rRNA from 1 species